rnacentral:rRNA from 1 species
AGUGAACGCUGGCGGUAGGCCUAACACAUGCAAGUCGAACGGCAGCACAGGAGAGCUUGCUCUCUGGGUGGCGAGUGGCGGACGGGUGAGGAAUACAUCGGAAUCUACUCUGUCGUGGGGGAUAACGUAGGGAAACUUACGCUAAUACCGCAUACGACCUACGGGUGAAAGCAGGGGAUCUUGGGACCUUGCGCGAUUGAAUGAGCCGAUGUCGGAUUAGCUAGUUGGCGGGGUAAAGGCCCACCAAGGCGACGAUCCGUAGCUGGUCUGAGAGGAUGAUCAGACACACUGGAACUGAGACACGGUCCAGACUCCUACGGGAGGCAGCAGUGGGGAAUAUUGGACAAUGGGCGCAAGCCUGAUCCAGCCAUACCUCGUGGGUGAAGAAGGCCUUCGGGUUGUAAAGCCCUUUUGUUGGGAAAGAAAUCCAGCUGGCUAAUACCCGGUUGGGAUGACGGUACCCAAAGAAUAAGCACCGGCUAACUUCGUGCCAGCCGCCGCGGUAA